ACUAGUAGUAAUAGCAUGUUGAAUGUCAGUUCCCCAUGGAUCACUAAAGCUAAGCAACAUUGUGCCUGGUUAGUAUCUGGAUGGGUGACUGAAGGAGACUAUACAUGCUGCUGGAU
rnacentral:rRNA from 1 species